rnacentral:misc_RNA from 1 species
UCAAACCCAAGAGAGAAUAUCAGAAGAUUCAAGGAAUCAAGAGGAUUGGGUAAGGAAAUGCUCAAGGUCUUACUCAAAGAAAUUAAAUUUGAUACCAAGUUUGAUAAUAAUUUGUAUGAGCAAUCCAUUACUGAGUUUGAGGACAAAAAAAUCUCAAAAAAUGCAAAAACCAUAGAGAAUCAUCAUGUAAGAUCUUUAAAAGACUGGAAAGUAAAUGAAAUAUUCCUGUUCAUUAAAAGCCAAUUGUGUACAAAAAGUGAGAAAAUGUACACUGAUGCUAAAGCUGGACAAACUUUGGCGUGUUUCUCGCACGAGUUGCUCAUUAGGUUUGCUCCCCUAGCUAGAUACAUUGAGCAUAAAUUGUCUGAAGCAUUGCCUAAAAGGUACUACAUUCAUCAAAAAAAAAAUUUUGAUGAACUGAAUAAAUGGGUCAUAGAGAGGGAUUUUUCUUCAAUUUGCACAGAGUCUGAUUAUGAAGCUUUUGAUUCCAGCCAAGAUGCAGUUUCCUUAGCCUUUGAAGUAGCCCUUAUGAAUCAUUUGAAUAUUCCAGUGGAUUUAAUUGAGGAAUACAUCCAGCUCAAAACACAUUUGGAUAGUAAAUUAGGAACUUUGGCCAUAAUGAGAUUCACUGGUGAAUUUGCAACCUUUUUGUUUAAUACCUUAAUGAACAUGGUUUUCACGUUUAUGAGGUACAAGAUAAAUGACAGCAUAUCCAUAUGCUUCGCUGGUGAUGAUAUGUGCGCAAACUCUAGACUCAAAGAAAGGAAUGACUACGAGGAUGUGCUCAAGAAUUUGAGUCUGAAGGCUAAAGUUGGAUAUACUUCAUGUCCAAGUUUUUGCGGGUGGUUGAUGACAAAAUAUGGUAUUUUAAAAGACCCAAAACUAAUUGAAUCAAGACUACGUGUUGCAGACGAGAAGGGCACAUUAGACUUAGUUCUUGAUUCAUACUUUCUUGAGUACAAAUACAGUUUUGAAUUGGGUGACCAUCUCAUGGAAAUUCUAUCUGAUGAGCAACUGGGGUAUCAUUACACACUAACUAGAUUUUUUGUGCAGCAUAAAAACAAACUCAAAGGAACUGCCAAGGAAAUUUUAAUGACCUCAGCUGAUGAAGGGAAAAUA